rnacentral:tRNA from 1 species
UAGGGGAACCUGCGGCUGGAUCACCUCCUUUCUAAGGAUGGUUCUUCAGAAGCUUGCUUCUAUCGAACCGUUUUAGAAACAUCAGUGGCCAACAGAUCGCCAGAUCGUUGAGCUGCAUUGGCGGGAUUUCGCCGUCUUCGUUUCUCUUUCUUCGCGGACGAACACGCGCUGGGCCUGCAUCGAGCAGGAUCCCACGGUCCCUGACGGGAUAUGCGUUAGGGGCUUGUAGCUCAGUUGGUUAGAGCGCGCGCUUGAUAAGCGUGAGGUCGGAAGUUCAAGUCUUCCCAGGCCCACCACUUUCAGUGAGCAUUCGUCUUCUGGUUACGGGGCCAUAGCUCAGCUGGGAGAGCGCGUGCUUUGCAAGCAUGAGGUCGUCGGUUCGAUCCCGUCUGGCUCCACCAGAUGGUUUGAUCACCGAGAUCUUGUACCGUCGUCCGCGAAACAUCACUUCGCAUCCUGCUAGUCUGGAUAGACAGCAAGAUGCGUGUUUUCUGACAUCGUAAAGAGGAGAUCGAUCCGAGUUGGGUCGUGCAGCAGAUUGUUGCGCGGAUCCUUCAUUAUCUCCGGAUCAUUUUCGGCGCUCGCCUUCAGCCGUGAGGUUGAAUGCGAGUUGUAAAAUGAUCCUUUUAGCGAAGCUUGACCGCCUCGCUAUCGGAACGAUCUUACGAAGCAAGCUGGUCUUUCUAGUCAAUGUCCGGCUGCAGAUAGCGUUCAUCGAGGGCGCGUGCCUUAGAGACUUCGGUUUCUCGGCAAUUCUGCAGACAACAUUCUGCCGAGUGUGUGGACAUUGAUAAUGAGAGCA